rnacentral:rRNA from 2 species
AAAACUUUCAACAACGGAUCUCUUGGUUCUGGCAUCGAUGAAGAACGCAGCGAAAUGCGAUAAGUAAUGUGAAUUGCAGAAUUCAGUGAAUCAUCGAAUCUUUGAACGCACAUUGCGCCCGCCAGUAUUCUGGCGGGCAUGCCUGUCCGAGCGUCAUUUCAACCCUCGAACCCCUCCGGGGGGUCGGCGUUGGGGAUCGGCCUUCUACCGGCCGGCCCCGAAAUACAGUGGCGGUCUCGCCGCAGCCUCUCCUGCGCAGUAGUUUGCACACUCGCACCGGGAGCGCGGCGCGUCCACGUCCGUAAAACACCCAACUUUCUGAAAUGUUGACCUCGGAUCAGGUAGGAAUACCCGCUGAACUUAAGCAUAUCAAUAAGCGGAGGAAAAGAAACCAACAGGGAUUGCCCCAGUAACGGCGAGUGAAGCGGCAACAGCUCAAAUUUGAAAUCUGGCCCCCUGGGUCCGAGUUGUAAUUUGUAGAGGAUGCUUUUGGUGAGGUGCCGCCCGAGUUCCCUGGAACGGGACGCCACAGAGGGUGAGAGCCCCGUCUGGCUGGCCACCGAGCCUCUGUAAAGCUCCUUCGACGAGUCGAGUAGUUUGGGAAUGCUGCUCAAAAUGGGAGGUAUAUGUCUUCUAAAGCUAAAUAUUGGCCAGAGACCGAUAGCGCACAAGUAGAGUGAUCGAAAGAUGAAAAGCACCUUGAAAAGAGGGUUAAAUAGUACGUGAAAUUGUUGAAAGGGAAGCGCUUGUGACCAGACUUGGGCGCGGCGGAUCAUCCGGGGUUCUCUCCGGUGCACUUCGCCGCGUUCAGGCCAGCAUCAGUUCGUCGCGGGGGAUAAAGGCUUCGGGAACGUGGCUCCUCCGGGAGUGUUAUAGCCCGUUGCAUAAUACCCUGCGGUGGACUGAGGACCGCGCAUCUGCAAGGAUGCUGGCGUAAUGGUCACCAGCGACCCGUCUUGAAACACGGACCAAGGAGUCGUCUUCGUAUGCGAGUGUUCGGGUGUCAAACCCCUACGCGUAAUGAAAGUGAACGCAGGUGAGAGCUUCGGCGCAUCAUCGACCGAUCCUGAUGUUCUCGGAUGGAUUUGAGUAAGAGCAUACGGGGCCGGACCCGAAAGAAGGUGAACUAUGCCUGUAUAGGGUGAAGCCAGAGGAAACUCUGGUGGAGGCUCGCAGCGGUUCUGACGUGCAAAUCGAUCGUCAAAUAUGGGCAUGGG